UGAGCCAAGGACUUUCCUGCUGCUUAAGUGGCCCUGGGACCUCCCAAGGUCAUCGUCCUGUGUCAGACACCAUCACUGACAGGAAUGGAGACCUCGCUUCUGCAGCUGAUUCCUGUUUGGAUGGUACUGGCUAGGAGAAAGUUCUGCUUUUGUAUGUUUUCAAUUUAUUUUACUCAUGAUAGCCUAGGCCCUCCGGAGGCCUUCUCAGGACCCAAACCCCUUUCAUCAGCCCUGUGUGUCUUGUGUUCAGAUCUGCCCAGGGACACAAACCUGCAGUUGGCCGUGUGGCUUCCAGCACUGUGGGUUCGGUUUGCUGUGGAAUGCACCACUGCGGUUGGGCUGAAAGUUCUGCCAGUUCAAUACCCCGUUUAAAACUUUCUGAAUAUUUACCCUCUGGCCUCGGUUCUGCCCUUCGGUCUCUGAACUAGUCUGGUGUCUCUUCCAGAUAACUUUUUAAAUAUUUGAAGGCAACCUGAUGUUAUCUAACCACAGCCCCCCUUAUCACUAAAUAUGUCACCUUCCAGCUUCCUGGUGCUUUCUCUGAAGCCCUUCCACCCAGGCUGGACUCUGUUCUCUUUUUCAUUCCAGCCAGAGCAGUCCUGGGGGUUCAGGAAUGGCCGAGCCUCCCCCACCACCAGCCUGAAGAGGUCACACUGAGGCCUGGUUUCUCUGAACUGAAUCUUGCCUGCAGACAUGGAGUCCACAGCAUACUCUCUCAAUCUGACCCUGAAAGAAGAGGAGGAAGAAGAAGAAAUUCAGAGCAGGGAACUAGAGGACGGCCCCGCGGAUAUGCAGAAGGUCCGGAUCUGCUCAGAGGGCGGAUGGGUCCCUGCGCUGUUUGACGAGGUGGCCAUAUAUUUUUCUGAUGAGGAAUGGGAAGUUUUGACGGAGCAACAGAAAGCCCUCUACCGGGAAGUCAUGAGGAUGAAUUAUGAAACCGUCCUGUCCCUAGAGUUCCCAUUCCCGAAGCCAGACAUGAUCAGUCGUUUGGAAGGGGAGGAAGAGUCUCCGAAUUCUGACGAGUGGCAGCUACAAGGAGGGACCUUUGCAGAACACGAAGACGCUGACGUGAAGCCUCGCGACUGGGCAGACUCGGUGAACGCCGCCUCUCACCUCCCCCAGCCGCAGCCCCUGGACGGCUUCGGGCUCCGUCUGCCCCGGGACCUCUCGGAGCUGCCCGAGUGGAGCGAGGGCUACCCCUUCUACAUGGCCAUGGGCUUCGCAGGCUACGACCUCUCGGCCGACGACAUCGCCGGCAAGUUUCAGUUCAGCCGGGGCAUGCGCCGCAGCUACGACGCCGGCUUCAAGCUGAUGGUGGUGGAGUACGCGGAGAGCACCAACAACUGCCAGGCUGCCAAGCAGUUCGGAGUCCUGGAGAAGAACGUCCGGGACUGGCGUAAAGUGAAGCCGCAGCUGCAGAACGCCCACGCCAUGCGCAGGGCCUUCCGGGGCCCCAAGAACGGGAGGUUUGCCCUGGUGGACCAGCGCGUGGCCGAGUACGUCAGGUACAUGCAGGCCAAGGGGGACCCCAUCACCAGGGAAGCCAUGCAGCUGAAAGCUCUCGAGAUCGCCCAGGAGAUGAAUAUCCCCGAGAAGGGGUUCAAGGCCAGCCUGGGCUGGUGCCGCCGCAUGAUGAGGCGGUAUGACCUGUCCCUGAGGCACAAAGUGCCCGUGCCCCAGCACCUGCCCGAAGACCUGACGGAGAAACUCGUCACCUACCAGCGCCGCGUGCUGGCCCUGCGCAGGGCGCACGACUACGAGGUGGCCCAGAUGGGGAACGCCGACGAGACGCCCAUCUGCCUGGAGGUGCCGUCACGGGUGACUGUGGAUAACCAGGGCGAGAAGCCCGUCCUGGUGAAGACGCCAGGCAGGGAGAAACUGAAAAUCACAGCGAUGCUCGGCGUCCUGGCUGACGGGAGGAAGCUGCCCCCGUACAUCAUCCUGAGGGGGACCUACAUCCCCCCCGGGAAGUUCCCCAGUGGCAUGGAGAUCCGCUGCCAUCGGUACGGCUGGAUGACCGAGGACCUGAUGCAGGACUGGCUGGAGGUGGUGUGGCGGCGGCGGACGGGCGCGGUGCCCAAGCAGCGAGGCAUGCUGAUCCUGAACGGCUUCCGGGGCCACGCCACCGACUCCGUGAAGAGCUCCAUGGAGCGCAUGGACACCGACAUGGUGAUCAUCCCGGGGGGCCUGACCUCGCAGCUGCAGGUGCUGGACGUGGUGGUCUACAAGCCCCUCAACGACAGUGUGCGGGCCCAGUACUCCAACUGGCUGCUGGCCGGGAACCUGGCGCUGAGCCCCACCGGGAACGCCAAGAAGCCACCCCUGGGCCUCUUCCUGGAGUGGGUCAUGGUCGCCUGGAACAGCAUCCCCAGCGAGUCCAUCAUCCAAGGGUUCAAGAAGUGCCACAUCUCCAGCAACCUGGAGGAGGAAGAUGACGUCCUGUGGGAGAUCGAGAGCGAGUUGCCGGGCGGAGGGGAGGUCCCCAAGGAAUGCGACACUGAAAGCACGACCGAGGGCCGCUGAGGACAUGGUGAGAGGGCCGGUCCGGAGGAGCUGCUCAGGACCUCGCGGGGCAAGUGGACCUGUGACUGGAAGUUGGGGAGCAGUAUCCUCAAGAUCAUUCUGGAAGUGUGGACACACAGGGGCCCACAGAAGGCCAGGGAGCCAGACAGUGGCCCGUGCAUCCCAUGGCGGACACAGCCCAACCCCACCCCACACCACUGCGUGGCAGAAGAGUCGAGGACCCUUAACUUCAUCAGUGCACACGGACAGACAUGAGUAGGACAGACACUACUGCUCCGGUUUCUUGUUGGGAGAGACUCCGUUUAUCCACCCUGUUGACGAAACCUGUACAUAGGAACAAACACAGCUGUUUCCUGGAGGAGAGAUGCUGCUCGGUAUCACCACGCUCACCCGGGCCCGACUCUGGUGGUGCCCAAUGGAGACGACCUUAAGUCCAUGUUUAAUUCUGCCUUUGAAAUGCUUCUGGAAGUAGAGCCUGUCCCCACACAGGUCACGACUAGAGAGGGCUUCGUUAGGGGCGUGUCGCCGGUGUGCACCUGCUACUUCAUAUUUUCUCUUGGAAAAAUGCGAUGCUACUAGUGCUGACAGCGGCAUUCAGACUGGCCUGGUACCAGGAGGUGGCUCUUCUGUAGACGCACUAGGCGAGUAUGGCCAACACAGGUUGAAAUAAACAGUGCUCUUUUAUUUAUCCUAUCUGGUUGGCAGCUAGGUGUCUUUAGGGUCUUCUCUAAUGGCCCUUGGUUAUUAAGUUUAAUGAGAGGGCAGCAUUGAGUAAACAAAGCUCUGUUUCCCCGGCUGCCUGCAGAAGUCGCUCUAAAUUAUCUGCUGUGUACAUGGUACAAAGCCCACUGACUCAUCUGAUGCUUGUUCAUUUCUUUAUUAUUUCUAUCACAAGGGCAGCAGGAGGGCAGCAGGGCCUUUGCCUUUAGCCACAGCUGUCUCAGAUUUCUAACCUUCUACUCUGUGGGAUAGGUGGGAGGUCACUGAGUUUUUAUACGUAGUAACCUGCAUUCCACGUAGGUCGAGUUUUACAGAAACAUUCCUUAAAGCUAUCUGCUACGAAAAGCCUGCCAGAACCUCGGAGACAAAGCCAUUGCUAGGUCCAGUCUGGGUAGCGGGCUGCAUAGCCACCCUCCCUCCCUCCAGACUCAGCUCACCUACAUGAUACAAGCCGUUCUUGGCAUCUGGAGACACCUAUUUCUACUCAGGUAUUCAUUUUCCUGCUAGUGACUCACCUUUCUGAUCUCUAAGCCAGCUCAGCCCCCAAGGGGAAGCUCGCCUCCCUGCUGUCUGCGUGUCGCUCGGUGUUCGCACUGUCUCCCACUUGCUUUAACUCGUACCCUUGGUCAUCCAAGUGGUCUCAACCCAGCUACCUUGCAUUCCAGAAGCUUCCAUCCAUUCUCAUUCUACUUGAUUUUUCUUACACGGCCCGCUCUUUCCUUCAUGGCGUACAUGUUUGGGGAGCUUAGAAGACUUUACAAGACCUUAUCUUGGGCUCCUGCCUUGGAGCCUAGUUUCCUUGCUGAGAAGGGUAGAGAAGGGGCCCGAUCCUGUUUCAUUCCACCAGCACCUCCUCGCGUCUUGUCACCGGCUGAGCGGUGAUGCCUUACAGGUUGCAGAGCGCCGGGCCUGUUCUAGAGCAGCAGCUCUCCGGUCAGGGCUUUUCUGGGCUCACUCUUGCGCUGACUGAAUUAUGACCUCUGCCUAACAGAGCCUGAGUGCAGAAUGGCUGUUCCCCUAGAAUCGCGAGAGCACACGGAGACAAUAGUUGUACUCCCCCGUAGGUAGGAACUGACCCAACAAUAAACUUUGAUAAUAAAGACGGUAGACCAUGGUGGUUUUUACUUACCUAUUGACAUUGUGAAAGUUUCAUUUCAAGCUGUUGCCUACACUUUAUCCUCCAUCCAAUUUGGAAUAGAUGACACCCUUGAAUCAAAUAAACUUCGUAGGAUGCAAUGUA